UCGUGUGUUAUCUCCUCUUUCUCUCUUUGUUUUACACUUUCAUUCUCCAUUGAAGCUUUGCAAGGAAGAACUUGCCCACCAAAGUCGCACGAAAGUCUACUCCAGCCACAAGCAGAGUAAAGAAGGAAGCCCCAUCGUUUCAGACCUAGAAUUGUCGCAAUUCGUGAGAUCGAAAGUAAUAGAUCAGGGAGGCCGCUGAAGCUUACUGGUUUGCCUUUUCAAACAUACCAACCUUUGCGUAAUUUGUGAUGAGAGGGCUUAAUUUGGGGGGUUUUAAUUGAAUCUUAAUGUCUAGGGUUUGGGGUUUUUUUUUUCAAGAAAUUAUAGUUUUUCUUUGCUUGCAUAUAAUUUAAUCAUGUUUGUUUAUGCUUGUUAUGUUUAAUUGUUGAUUGUUAAAAAAAAAUUGGGUUUAAUCGUCCAUUUUUUUGGAAUUUUGUUUCACUAUUGAGGUAAUUGGACGACAAAUUGAAUGACUCUUUGGAAAUUAAGUAAUCGAUGCAGAAUUUAUAUUAAAUGUUGAUUAAUUGCUUUGAUAGUCUUGUUGUUCAAGCACAACAAUUCGAAAUCUAACCCCUUUUUUCUCUAUUGUUUUUUGCUCAAGUGUUGACUUAAUUAAGAUUAUCUUUGUCUGGGUUUAUCAUUCCAUUUGAAUGAUGAACUGGGUGUAAUUUUUUUUUAAAAAAAGGGAAUUGGGUGUAUUUUAAAUGUUGAUUAAUUGGCUAUGGUAGAUUAUUGUUGUUGUUGAGUUUGUAUCACUUAUGCCUCUAAUGUUAUCUUCCAAUCCCUUGUUUUUUCUUCAGAAAGAUCGGCUCGUAGUCUAGGAUUUCGAUAAUGUAUACAAGAAAAGAGUUUAUACAAAUAUUCACUCUUGCUUGCUCAACACUAUGAGGUUAAUCUUAAUGUAUUAGCUGCCUCAGUGUAGACACUUCCUCUGGUACAGUGGCCUUCGAUAAUAUGAGGUCCAAGAAGUUGGCAGAUGUUGUAUGUCUUAGAUAUUAACUUAGAGAAGAAACAAGGAGAGAUAAUUACUAGAGGUCAUAAAAACUUUGAGCUUAUGCUCAAUCUACAAUUAGGAACCAGUGGACCCCUGUACAUAUUCAACUGGAAAUAUUGACGAAAUUAGAGACUUGUGGGCUAAGUAUGUUCUAGAGCUUGAACAAGAUGAUGUUAAUGAAGAUGGUAUAGACAUUGCGUGAGUUUAGUUUGUCCAUUACUUUUGGGAAAAGUAUUGCGAUUUUUAGAAUUUUUUGUAUAGUACUUUUGGAGCUUAUCUUAGAUGGCAUGGAAAUUAAAUGAGUGGUUUAUAUUUUUGGAGAAUACUGGAUUUUUUUUGCAGAUAUUGCUGUAUAGUAUUUUUGGAGGUUAUACUAUAAUUAAUGGAUAUUUGUAAAAGUGUUUAUCAACUUUUGUUUAUUAUUGUAUGUUCCAUGAAUAUUA